CGGCUGGCGCGUGCUUACACAUGCAGUCGAGCGGUAAGGCCCUUCGGGGUACACGAGCGGCGAACGGGUGAGUAACACGUGGGUGAUCUGCCCUGUACUUCGGGAUAAGCCUGGGAAACUGGGUCUAAUACCGGAUAUGACCACUGAUCGCAUGGUCGGUGGUGGAAAGAUUUAUCGGUACAGGAUGGGCCCGCGGCCUAUCAGCUUGUUGGUGGGGUAACGGCCUACCAAGGCGACAACGGGUAGCCGACCUGAGAGGGUGACCGGCCACACUGGGACUGAGACACGGCCCAAACUCCUACGGGAGGCAGCAGUGGGGAAUAUUGCACAAUGGGCGAAAGCCUGAUGCAGCGACGCCGCGUGAGGGAUGACGGCCUUCGGGUUGUAAACCUCUUUCGACAGGGACGAAGCGCAAGUGACUGUACCUGUAGAAAAAGCACCGGCCAACUACGUGCCAGCAGCCGCGGUAAUACGUAGGGUGCGAGCGUUGUCCGGAAUUACUGGGCGUAAAGAGCUUGUAGGCGGUUUGUCGCGUCUUCUGUGAAAACUUGGGGCUCAACUCCAAGCUUGCAGGCGAUACGGGCAGACUAGAGUACUUCAGGGGAGACUGGAAUUCCUGGUGUAGCGGUGAAAUGCGCAGAUAUCAGGAGGAACACCGGUGGCGAAGGCGGGUCUCUGGGAAGUAACUGACGCUGAGAAGCGAAAGCAUGGGUAGCAAACAGGAUUAGAUACCCUGGUAGUCCAUGCCGUAAACGGUGGGUACUAGGUGUGGGGCUCCUUCCACGGACUCCGUGCCGUAGCUAACGCAUUAAGUACCCCGCCUGGGGAGUACGGCCGCAAGGCUAAAACUCAAAGAAAUUGACGGGGGCCCGCACAAGCGGCGGAGCAUGUGGAUUAAUUCGAUGCAACGCGAAGACCUUACCUGGGUUUGACAUACACCAGAACACGUAGAGAUACGUGCCCCCUUGGUGGUUGGUGUACAGGUGGUGCAUGGGCUGUCGUCAGCUCGUGUCGUGGAGAAUUGUUUGGGUUAGUCCCGCACGAGCGCACCUUAUUCUUAUGGUGGCAGCGCGUAUGCGGGACUCGUGAAAGACUGCGGGUUCAACUCGAGACGGUGGGACGACGUCAGUCAUCAUGCCUUAGUCAGGCUUCAACAUGCUACAUUGCGUACACGCUCGAACCGUCGUGACGAAUCCAUAAGCAGUCUCAU
rnacentral:rRNA from 1 species